GGGGGAUUAGCUCAGAUGGUAGAGCACUUGCUUUGCAUGUGAGAGGUAGCAGUAUCUACACCUGCGUUCUCCA